CGCGCGAUACAGGGUGACAGCCCCGUACACAAAAGCGUAUGUGCUGUGAGCUCGAUGAGUAGGGCGGGACACGUGGUAUCCUGUCUGAAUAUGGGGGGACCAUCCUCCAAGGCUAAAUACUCCUGACUGACCGAUAGUGAACCAGUACCGUGAGGGAAAGGCGAAAAGAACCCCGGCGAGGGGAGUGAAAAAGAACCUGAAACCGUGUACGUACAAGCAGUGGGAGCCCCACCACUAAGCCAGUGGUGAACUCCACAUACGCAUCCUUUGCUGAGGAUACGGUUAACGGAGCGAAAGCGACGUUCAACCGCAAAAGAAGCAGAGGGGGCUUAGUGGUGGGGUGACUGCGUACCUUUUGUAUAAUGGGUCAGCGACUUAUAUUCUGUAGCAAGGUUAACCGAAUAGGGGAGCCGGAGGGAAACCGAGUCUUAACCGGGCGUUAAGUUGCAGGGUAUAGACCCGAAACCCGGUGAUCUAGCCAUGGGCAGGUUGAAGGUUGGGUAACACUAACUGGAGGACCGAACCGACUAAUGUUGAAAAAUUAGCGGAUGACCUGUGGCUGGGGGUGAAAGGCCAAUCAAACCGGGAGAUAGCUGGUUCUCCCCGAAAGCUAUUUAGGUAGCGCCUCGUGAAUUCAUCUCCGGGGGUAGAGCACUGUUUCGGCUAGGGGGCCAUCCCGGCUUACCAACCCGAUGCAAACUGCGAAUACCGGAGAAUGUUAUCACGGGAGACACACGGCGGGUGCUAACGUCCGUCGUGAAGAGGGAAACAACCCAGACCGCCAGCUAAGGUCCCAAAGUCAUGGUUAAGUGGGAAACGAUGUGGGAAGGCCCAGACAGCCAGGAUGUUGGCUUAGAAGCAGCCAUCAUUUAAAGAAAGCGUAAUAGCUCACUGGUCGAGUCGGCCUGCGCGGAAGAUGUAACGGGGCUAAACCAUGCACCGAAGCUGCGGCAGCGACGCUUAUGCGU
rnacentral:rRNA from 1 species